GGAAUCCGAGGUUACAGUACACGAGGAAAAAAAAAGGGGAAAUGGAUCGCAGAGGGUUAGCUAAAACCCUAGAAAAACCUCCAAUUUGGCGAAGAAAUGUUCAAUAUUCGUGCUGAUUACUGAAGAAAUUAGAAAAGUUUCCAACUUUUAGCUCACUAAAUCGUUGCAAACGCAAUCCUAGGGCUCCAUUUUUUUUGGAACGUUGCUGGGAUUCUUAAUGGACGGUGUUGCGCUCCUUGGUACUAUUCGAUCCGAAGACCUGGAUCGCAGCGAGGACGAUAGAGACUCCAUGGUCGUCGAUACGGCUCCAAAUCAUGCAUUAGAUCAAUCGAGAUCGAAUGCCGAGGGUCUUGUUGUUCUUAANUUAGCUUGGUAGAAAUGGGGAAAUGGAAACCUAAUGGCUUGUUUUCUACUCGAUUUGUGCUCAUUUAUUUUUCGUCCCAUCGGAAAUGCGAUUUUUUGCAUUGAUUUUGAUGGUUGUGAAGCCCUUGAUUCAGCGGCGUUUGCUAAACUUUUUUUUUUCUUUCCUUUUCUAGGCGGAAUCCGAGGUUACAGUACACGAGAAAAAAAAAGUGGAAGUAGAUCGCAGAGGGUUAGCUAAAACCCUAGAAAAACAUCCAAUUGGCGAAGAAAUGUCCAAUAUUCGUGCUGAUUACUGAAGAAAUUAGAAAAGUUUCCAACUUUAGCUCACUAAAUCGUUGCAAACGCAUUCCUAGGGCUCCAUUUUUCUGGAUCGUAGCUGGGAUUCUUAAUGGACGGUGUUGCGCUCCUUGGUACCAUUCGAUCCGAAGACCUGGAUCGCAGCGAGGACGAUAGAGACU
rnacentral:lncRNA from 1 species